UACAUGGGGUGCAAUCGUUGCUCGGAAUCAUUGGGCGUAAAGCGCGCGUAGGCGGCCCAGUAAGUCCGUUGUAAAAGUCAAAGGCUCAACCUUUGAAAGCCGAUGGAUACUGCUGGGCUAGAGUCCGGAAGAGGCGAGUGGAAUUCCUGGUGUAGCGGUGGAAUGCGCAGAUAUCAGGAGGAACACCGAUAGCGAAGGCAGCUCGCUGGGACGGUACUGACGCUGAGGCGCGAAAGCGUGGGGAGCGAACAGG
rnacentral:rRNA from 1 species